UGGGGAAUAUUGCACAAUGGGCGCAAGCCUGAUGCAGCGACGCCGCGUGAGGGAUGACGGCCUUCGGGUUGUAAACCUCUUUCAGCAGGGACGAAGCGCAAGUGACGGUACCUGCAGAAGAAGCACCGGCCAACUACGUGCCAGCAGCCGCGGUAAUACGUAGGGUGCGAGCGUUGUCCGGAAUUACUGGGCGUAAAGAGCUCGUAGGCGGUUUGUCGCGUCGUCUGUGAAAUUCUGCAGCUUAACUGCAGGCGUGCAGGCGAUACGGGCAGACUUGAGUACUACAGGGGAGACUGGAAUUCCUGGUGUAGCGGUGAAAUGCGCAGAUAUCAGGAGGAACACCGGUGGCGAAGGCGGGUCUCUGGGUAGUAACUGACGCUGAGGAGCGAAAGCGUGGGUAGCGAACAGGAUUAGAUACCCUGGUAGUCCACGCCGUAAACGGUGGGUACUAGGUGUGGGUUCCAUUUCACGGGAUCCGUGCCGUAGCUAACGCAUUAAGUACCCGCCUGGGGAGUACGGCCGCAAGGCUAAAACUUAAAUGAAUUGACGGGGUCAUAG
rnacentral:rRNA from 1 species